UGCUUUCCUUUGCUUUGCUUGCCCAGAGGAACAAUCCUGCUGUGCCCCUGUGCAGGCAGGACUCUACGGCAGCCAGGCUGGGAGCUGGUGCACAGGAGCUGCAUCAUCCAGCUGCCAGCUGCAGUGGAGACGUUGGAUGUGAGGAGAAGUGCUGCAAGUCCCAGGUGGACGAUGAAAGCAAUGUUGGAUGGGGAGGUGAGGAGAGCGAGGUGCUCAGUGCAGUGCUGGACCUUAAGGGCUGCUUUUCCUGCCUGUGCAGGCCUCUGGAAGAGACACUUGGGAUCAGUGGCAGUGGAAUAAAAUUUCUAAACUGAAAAGUGAUAAAAUAAACCCUUUCAAAUAACUUCUA